CAUACUCCCAGUCCUGGGUGCAGGCUGGGGUUUUGCUUUUCCUUUUUUCUCUCUCUGCAGGGCUGGAUGGGCAGGUGCUCCUCAUCAGCUGAUUUCCACCCUUUUUAAGGAGCUGGAACCAGGAGGAGGGCGUCAGUUCGUUAAUGCUUCAGCGUUGAACCCAGGAUCCCAAGCCCUGGAACCAUUCAGUCAGCCUCUAGGAACCUGUGAGGCUUCUGGUCUCAGAACCUUAAGACGCCCUCCUGCGUGAGCGCACCUGCCAGUCCACCCUCAGACACCACCAUCCGAUCUCGCCAACCGGACCUGCACCAAUAGGCUGGAUCACUGGACACCAUCCUCCCAAACAGACGCCAAGCCGUCCUCUCUCCGUAUCCUGACAACCCUGCCUGCCGGACUCCUCUCUGUACUUCCACAAACCUUCAAUAAAACCUUUAACAGAUCAUUGCCUCCGUGAUUGCUCCUAUUCAGAGUCUGAAAACCUAAACAUGACAGAACGAACUGACCAAGCUGACUCUGGAGAGCAAUUACGCAGCGCUAUUUCCCACCAGGGUUUACUGCUAGGCCAGCAUGAAGCCCUGAUUCAGACCAUGAUACAACAGCAGACACAGGUUAUGC